rnacentral:rRNA from 1 species
GAAACGGGGGCUAAUACCGCAUGAUAUCGCGAGAGCUCCGGCUCACGCGAUCAAAGCUAGCCUCUACAUGUAAGCUAGCGCCACCGGAGGGGCUCGCGGCCCAUUAGCUUGUUGGUGAGGUAACGGCUCACCAAGGCUGCGAUGGGUAGCCGGCCUGAGAGGGCGAUCGGCCACACUGGAACUGAGACACGGUCCANACUCCUACGGGAGGCAGCAGUGAGGAAUCUUGCGCAAUGGGGGAAACCCUGACGCAGCGACGCCGCGUGGAGGACGAAGGCCUUCGGGUCGUAAACUCCUGUCAAGGGGGACGAACGUCGCGGGGAUGAAUAAGCCUCGCGUUUGACGGUACCUCUGGAGGAAGCCCCGGCUAACUCCGUGCCAGCAGCCGCGGUAAUACGGAGGGGGCCAGCGUUGUUCGGAAUUAUUGGGCGUAAGGGCGCGCAGGCGGCCAGGCCANUCGGAGGUGAAAUCCCUCGGCUCACCGAGGAACUGCCUCGAUACUGCAUGGCUUGAUUCC